UACGAAGGGUGCAAGCGUUGUUCGGAUUUAUUGGGCGUAAAGCGUGCGCAGGCGGGUUCGCAAGUCAGGUGUGAAAUCUCGAGGCUUAACCUCGAAAUUGCGCCUGAAACUGCAAGUCUAGAAUGUCGGAGAGGGAAGGGGAAUAUCUCAUGUAGGGGUAAAAUCCGUAGAGAUGAGAUGGAACACCAGAGGCGAAGGCGCCUUCCUGGACGAUUAUUGACGCUGAGGCACGAAAGCGUGGGGAGCAAACAGG
rnacentral:rRNA from 1 species